UUGGUAUAUCAUUUGCACCCUACAUACAUAAGGAGCAUAAAAGUCAACCAAGAACAUAGCACUGUGGCAUAUCACAUGACAAAGAAUGGUAUCUCUGGGAUUCUCAGUCCUCAUUCUGUCAGCUCAUAGUCUAAACUUCAAUGUUGACUUUUAGAAGAAGCCUAAGGCAAAAUUUCAAAGGAGCAGUUUUUGGAGACAGGGUCUCACCUUGUUGCCCAGGAUGGAGUGCAGUGGCAUGAUCUCAGCUCCCUGCAACCUCUGCCUCCCUGGCUCAAGCCAUCCUCCCACAUCAAGCUACUGAGUAGCUGAGACUACAGCUCGACUCUGAUUUGAAGAGUAGGAUGGUUAAGGACAUCAGAAAGAAUUUCACAGAGAAAAGGGUCGAAACAGAGCAUGCAAAACCACAAAGAGUCUCAGUCUUUUGCCCUCACCCAGGCAGGAGUGCAGUGGUGCAAUCUUGGCUCUCUGCAGCCUCCACCUCCUGGGCUCAAGCGAUCCUCCAAUCUCCACCUCCCGAGUAGCCGGGACUACAGCCAUGCGAAGAUGUACCUGCUUCUGCUUCAUCUUCUGCCCUGAUUGUAAGUUUCCUGAGGCCUCUCCAGAAGCAGAAAUCUGGAAAGUCUGCAGAACUAUGAAUUUACCAGACACCUUGGAAUCCUACUGUUUAGACGCCCACCUAAGCAGCUGACGUCACCUUUUACAGGCUAUGGAAGAUAAACUGCAUUUGUGAAAGAGCUGUUCUUCAGUUAUGAAAAAGGACUGAGGAAUCAAUUGUGAAUGGACUUGGGCAACUUUGUUGGUUCAGUUUAUAAACAGUUUGAAAAGUUUUGAAACUUUCCCAGAACACUUUGGCUCAGAGACAACUGUGUAAAACUAUAUAAAAACAAACUUAGUGCUCACAUUGUCCCUAACUGCUGCAGUAUGACAGAUAUUUUCCUUUUAAUAUUUUCAGUAUUUGUUGUUUAAUCCUGAUCUGCCAUUAGAUAUCCCUGUUUCCCUUUCAGAGCCAGGAGAAUCAUGUGUACUAUAUAAAAUAGUUUAAUUUGCUUUGAAGAACAAAACACUUUUAAACAAUGUAAUAUGUAUCAUGUUAAUUGGUGAGUAUAUUUUAUUACUUACACUCUAUUUUUCAGAACAAUUUUAGAUUUAAGAAAAAUUGAGAAGAUCACGUAGAGCAGGGUCCCCAAACUUUUUGGCACCAGGGACUGGUUUCAGGGAAGAUAGUUUUUCCACAGACUGGGGGUGGAGGUGGGGAUGGGGGUGGCAGAGGUGGUGGGGUAGUUUGGGAGUGAAAUUGUCCCCCCUCAGAUCAUCAGGCUUUAGAUUCUUACAAGGAGUGCACAACCUAGAUCCCUGGCAUGUGCAGUUCUCAAUAGGGUUUACACUCCUACGAGAAUCUAAUGCCACCGCUGAUCUGACAGUAGGCAGAGCUCAGGGAGUAAUGCAGGCUUACCCAUUGCUCACGUACUGCUGUGCAGCCCAGUUCCUGAAAGGAUCGCUACCAGUCUGAGGCCUGGGAGUUGGUGACCCCCGAUGUAGAAAGUUCCCAUAUAGCCC
rnacentral:lncRNA from 10 species